ACGGGAGGCAGCAGUGAGGAAUAUUGGUCAAUGGGCGGAAGCCUGAACCAGCCAAGUCGCGUGAAGGAUGAAGGUAUUAUGUAUUGUAAACUUCUUUAGCAGUGGAGUAAUAAGGAGCUCGUGAGCUCUGAUGCGAGUACACUGAAAAUAAGGAUCGGCUAACUCCGUGCCAGCAGCCGCGGUAAUACGGAGGAUCCGAGCGUUAUCCGGAUUUAUUGGGUUUAAAGGGUGCGCAGGCGGCCUUGUAAGUCAGCGGUUAAAUCGUGGAGCUCAACUCCAUCCCGCCGUUGAUACUGCAGGGCUUGAUUGCGGUUGAGGUUGGCGGAAUUCGUCGUGUAGCGGUGAAAUGCAUAGAUAUGACGAAGAACACCGAUUGCGUAGGCAGCUGACCAAGCCGUAAAUGACGCUCAUGCACGAAAGUGCGGGGAUCGAACAGGAUUAGAUACCCUGGUA
rnacentral:rRNA from 1 species